rnacentral:miRNA from 1 species
CACACAUGUGCCAGCACAGGACC